AGUGCUCUUGCUUGGUCAUGUGAUGUUUAUUUUUAGAAGAAACUGCCAAACUAUUUCUAGAAUGACUCUACCAUUUUACAUUUCCACAAGCAGU
rnacentral:pre_miRNA from 1 species